UUUUGGAUUUUAAUUUCAUUGGUAACAACACUAAUAGUGUACAAGGUUUUCCAUUAACGCACUGAGAUUUUGGGACAGUGAAGCAUUAACUCAAAGGUUAUUCCCAUCUAAGGACCUAAGACCAUACAAGCCCUAGUGUGGCCUCAUUCUUGAUUGUCACCCAAGUGCUUUUCUAAUGCAGAUAUUAGUCUCUGAAAGAAGUCAGCAGAUGCAUCAUGUACCAAUUCUUCCUGAAGCAUGGACACAUCAUGAGCCACAUGGCAAAUGCUUAAUAGGAUUACAAGUACAUUUGCAAAGCAGACUGUUAAAAGCAGUUUGUUGCAUUUAAAUGGCAUAAAAGGUUGAGUUUAUUCUAAGCUCUAUACUAUAUAUGACAUUUGGAAAUAAACACAAAAGAAGAACAAACUGGAAGGUAGUUCUGGUACUUAUUUUUAGCUGGAAGAAGUCCUUAAUACUUUGCAGCUUACAUGACAGGGCCAUUUCCUGUUGCAGGACACUCCCAUCAAUAAUGAGAGAGAGAUUGGGAAAGCCAAAGAUGAGAAAUUAAAUGCCUGAAAUACUCCUUUUGGAGAGCGGGACAGGAAGUGGUGAGAACAGACAUUUAUUUUUAUACUGACUGUCUCGGUUCUAGGGAAAUGAGAAAACGCUGUGUGAGUUGUAUUGGCAAGCAGUGAGUCAUUGAUUCACUUCGUUGAUAAAAGUAUGGGAAAAGUAUCCCUCAAGUAGGAAAUAAACUGUUGAAUUUGCAGCGUUACUGGCAGCAGGGGCAAAAUUCUUUUUCUGCAGCUCUAUUCUUACACCACAUGAAACACUGUAAAAUUAUGAAUUUAAAUACAUAAUGGAAAAGACAUAAUAAAGGAAUGACAGCUAAUCAUCUCUGUUUCCCCUAUAGCCUUUUUGGUUUUAUAUUUUUGAUGCCUGACUUAGUGUUUUUACUAGUGGCAGUACACACUAUCCCAGUUUCACAGUCAUUCUGAGUGCUGAAAAUAUUUGCUGCAUAAGUUAUCUUUUAGAAAAAUAUAUAAAAGCUAUAGGCACAGUUUCCCAAUGGCAUAACAUGUAUGUAAAGAUGCCUCUUAUGUGUUUUUUCUUGCCACUACUUGAAACCCCUUCAGCUCUUUACAACCAUAAGGCUUCCUGCUACCCAAGAAGCUUAGCUGCAGUCCUGUUGAUUAACAAUUUUAUGGGCAAAAGAAGAAACACCAGGAGCAGCUGGUGCUUGCCAGAGAACCAGGGAAAGGAGAGUAUCAAAUUGCACUGAUAACCCACUGCUUCUUGGAGCCUGUGUCUAUCCUUUCUCCUAUGUGUCUGAAAUGUGGUUGUGCUGACUCUGUCACCACAGCCUGGGGUCCCACUAGCCCUAUCAUGAGCCUUAUUUGCAGCCUUGAAAUCCAGAACAUGCCAUUAGUUUAUCCACUUUGAACCUUCUCAAGGGUUUAAGCCAAGAAAGAAAAAUACUGGCUUCUGCCCCAUGUCAGACUUAGUUGGGUGGUAUUUUUUCUAUAGCAUUUUAGAGCUGUCUAAGCAACUCAGGACUCAGAAUUUGACACAGGGGUUAUUUCUUCCUCAAAAAAUGUUUACUAUUGAUGCUGAAGUCUUUCUUUACCACAUAACAAUGUGGUAAAAGUGAAAAAGUAGCUAGAAAUAAAAAUAAAAACACAUCCCAGAAACACAGAGAGAGACAGAAGGUGCAGAGAAUCAGUGCUGCAGAUAUGGAGCUGUUCCAAGCAUAUAUCAGGGCAAUUGGUCAUUCAGCUUGAAUUUUGAUUUGUCAGGAGCACAGAGCCUAACCCAUCAUUUACUGAGAAUACACUGUCUUCCUACAUUGACUGCAUUUUUAGAAAAGUCAGCAUUUUCCAUAAGAAAACUUUUACAGAUGCUCUAGUGUAUUGAAGAAUACCAACCUUGCCAAAAGACAAGCCUUAGAUUUCUUGUUAUUCCCAGGCUCUGACUCCUUAGAGUACCAUCUUUCAUCUUUCAAACGAUUUUCUUGUAAAAAUGCGACUUUUUGAGUAGGGUUUUUCCCCUUCUGUCCAGUUGCUUUUACAUUUUUAUCCUUCAUAUUGAAGGAAAAAGUUUUAUUUUGGAUCAGCACAGGUCCCUUUAUGUUUUGCUUUCUAUUUCAGCAGCAUGUUGUAUUUAAUAGGAGACAUUUCCAAAAAGGCUGAGGGUCAGGCUUUCAGGUUUGCACUUGAUGGCUGCAUGUGUCUGAACUGAACAUCCAUCCAGACAGCCAUAAAAGUUCCCUUCAGCAGACUGAGUAUGGCCAUGCAAUACAAUGCUGCCUUGCAUAUUCCCAAAGAAAAUCCUAGUGAGCACAAUUUGAGACUCAAAUUCAGGAUUUCUGUGCCAGUGUCUGGACAAUAUGAUCAUGCCCCUGUCACAGCAAUUCAGGUCAGCAUUGCAGUGACACCAUGGCACUGUCCCUUGCAGACAGGGAGCUUACGUCCUGACUUAAGGCUGGCAUAGAAGGGGCACUUUUCCUUUGUGCUUCCUGCACAUUUUGAAAGAGUGUGACUUUUGUAACAAAGCUCACAUUCUACUCUCUCAUUCUGGUCUUGAAGGUUGCAUGGCAGCUGUGGUCUUUAAACACGCAUGAUCAGCAUUUUAGGCACAAUCUUUCCUAGAUAUGGCUGGAGUAUCUGUUAGGGUUAAUGUGCUUCACCAGCAGCCCAACUCAAAAUUUCCAGUUCGCAGUUGUUGGAUAAUUUUAUUAUUAUUUUGAUUAAGACAGGAAGUGAAAUUUUCUAAUGGCAUACCAGAAUCAAACUCAUCAAUUGUAAAGUAAACAGAGAUUUUGAGUCCCAAAUUAUUGAAUUAAGUUCUCCUCAGGGAAGUUUUCUUUGCCAUUUCCUGAAAAAUAUGCCAAGUAUCUUGUAUGUUUUGCAGUAGAUGCCCUGUCCACAACAGAUUUGUUAUGGCGUGUUCUCAAUUUUUCUGCAUUUCUGCUGCUAUCCAUGUAAAACUAUCAACUUAUUUUGCACAAUGUAUCCACAAAUAAAAGCAAAACCUAUGCAUUCUAUAAAUCAUCUGACAUUCCAACAGUGUGCUGUUUUCUGACUUCGGAUGACUCAUUGUCAUAUUCAUUUGUUAGCUUGUUCAUCUAGUAAAUGUAACAUGCUCUGUGGCAAGUAACCCAUUUAAUUUUCAAUUCUAAUUAUGCCUUUUUGGACCCUCCUAGUUCAAUUUUCCUAGUCUUAGUGACAAAGGUUAAUGUCUUAAAAUUAGAUAUUUAAACAGAAGUAGGACACAGGCACUGCUAAAUGAGUAAAGCAAUUAUAAUUGUUCAGCUUUAAGCAUUUCUUCUACUAACUUUCUAUAAAUAAAACUUUCCUCAAAGGUUUCAGC
rnacentral:lncRNA from 1 species